rnacentral:rRNA from 1 species
UACGUAGGGUGCAAGCGUUGUCCGGAAUUAUUGGGCGUAAAGAGCUCGUAGGCGGCUCGGUAAGUCGGGUGUGAAAACUCGGGGCUCAACCCCGAGACGCCACUCGAUACUGCUGUGGCUAGAGUCCGGUAGGGGAGCGUGGAAUUCCUGGUGUAGCGGUGAAAUGCGCAGAUAUCAGGAGGAACACCGGUGGCGAAGGCGGCGCUCUGGGCCGGAACUGACGCUGAGGAGCGAAAGCGUGGGGAGCAAACAGG